UACGUAGGGGGCAAGCGUUAUCCGGAUUUACUGGGUGUAAAGGGAGCGUAGACGGCAGUGCAAGUCUGGAGUGAAAGGCGGGGGCUCAACCCCCGGACUGCUCUGGAAACUGUACGGCUGGAGUGCAGGAGAGGUAAGUGGAAUUCCUAGUGUAGCGGUGAAAUGUGUAGAUAUUAGGAGGAACACCAGUGGCGAAGGCGGCUUACUGGACUGUAACUGACGUUGAGGCUCGAAAGCGUGGGGAGCAAACAGG
rnacentral:rRNA from 1 species